CCUUCUUGUAUGCCAAUUGGCAUUGGAUAGCUGAAAUAUCUUUAGAAAGUAAUAUAAGUUGUUGCUAAACUAAGAUUGUAGUGUGCUUAAGCUAAUAAAUUUGACUCUAUUCUGUGUUCUUGUACUAUAUGGCUUUUCUUCUAGAUGGUAUGGAGCUACUUAUAAUAAUAUAUUUUUAAUUGCUAGAAUUAAUUACAUUUUUUUUGAAUAUUUGCUUAAUUUUUUUAUGCUUUAUUCU
rnacentral:lncRNA from 1 species